rnacentral:misc_RNA from 1 species
AAGUCGUAACAAGGUAACCGUAGGUGAACCUGCGGUUGGAUCAUUAAUAAAUCUAGAAGGUCUUAAAGACCUUUCUAACAUCUUGUGAAUCGUUUAUGUCUCUAGUGUAUUCUGUACGCUGAGUAAACUUUGUAUUAAUAUUUGUCUUUAAAAAUUUAUAAAAGUAAUUAAAACAACUUUUGACAACGGAUCUCUAGGCUCUCA